GGGUACUUAGGUUAAGCAAACUAGAAGCCUUCAAAGCUUCAAACAGGGGCUCAACUCCCCUAGUCCCCG
rnacentral:tRNA from 1 species